UACGAGAGGCCCAAACAUUAUUCGGAAUUACUGGGCGUAAAGUGUGCGCAGGCGGCCGCGCAAGUCGAGUGUGAAAGCCCCGGGCUUAACUUGGGAAUUGCGCUCGAAACUACGUGGCUGGAGUGUGGCAGAGGAAGGUGGAAUUCCAGGUGUAGCGGUGAAAUGCGUAGAGAUCUGGAGGAACACCGAUGGCGAAGGCAGCCUUCUGGGCCAACACUGACGCUCAUGCACGAAAGCGUGGGGAGCAAACAGG
rnacentral:rRNA from 1 species